UUACUUCCUCAAAAACCCCCAUCACCCUCAUCUUCUUCUCUCCUUUCCUCUCCCCUCUCUCCUUCGCCCCAUCUUCCUCCUCCGGCCUUGCGAAAUCCUGUACAUGUGAUCAUACGCACAGCCUGAGAAGGUAAGGAAGCCUGCUAUUGUACUCUGCGCAGCGAGAAGAAUUGAAAGCAACGAUGGACGGUGCAGCAACGGCAGCAACCGGCGGCAGCGGCGACUACAGCAGGCACCGCCUCAUCGGCUCGAGGAUCCAGGAGCACCGGAAGUACAUGUCGGAGUCUAGCUGCUGCCCGCGGUGCGGCUACAAGAUCGACCGGCUGCUGGACUGGGUGGGGCUUCCGUCCGGGGUGAAGUUCGACCCGACGGAUCAGGAGCUGAUUGAGCACCUGGAGGCGAAGGUCCGGCCCGACGUCGCGGCGGCGCCGUCGCACCGGUUGAUCGACGAGUUCAUACCCACCAUUGAGGGGGAGGACGGCAUCUGCUACACCCAUCCUGAGAAAUUGCCAGGUUUGACCAAGGAUGGCCUGAGCAGGCACUUCUUCCACCGGCCGUCCAAAGCCUACACCACCGGGACGCGCAAGCGCCGCAAGAUCCAGCCGCAUGCCGCCGCCUCCUCCUCGUCCUCCGCAACCGCCGCGAAGACGCAGCAGCAGCAGCAGCGGAGCGAGACGCGGUGGCACAAGACCGGUAAGACGCGGCCGGUGGUGGUGGGCGGCCAGCAUCGGGGGUGCAAGAAGAUCCUGGUGCUCUACACCAACUUCGGCAAGCACCGCAAGCCGGAGAAGACCAACUGGGUGAUGCACCAGUACCACCUCGGCGAUAACGAGGAGGAGCGCGAGGGCGAGCUCGUCGUGUCCAAGAUCUUCUUCCAAACGCAGCCGAGGCAGUGCGGCGUCGCGGCGGAACCCUCCGCCGCCUCCUCUGACACCGUGGAUGGGACUACUGACCUUGCGGCGGCGCCCAUGGUGGCCUCAUCCGAUAUCGGCGCGGUGUUCCCGGGCGGCCCCGGCAUUGGCGAGUUCAGCUUCGCGCAGUUCAGGAGCAGCUUCGAGGAGGUGGGCAUGGGAGCAACAAGUUUGGUUCAGGCUAGGGUUGACGAGGAAGUGCAUACAGGGCAUCAAAACAUUCACCAGGAGCAUGAUCUACAGCAUCAAUACGCCGACCAGGAUCAGCAGCACAUGGCCGCAGCUGCGGCAGCAUUCCACAUCAGCGCGCCGCCAGAUCCCGUCACCACGUUGAUCACUCUGCCACCGGUGGUUCACCAUGGUUCCAUCACACUACAAUCGCAAGAGCCAUAUCAUGCCGUGAAUUAUCGUCAUCAGCAGUUAGGAGGACGGACGGCCACACCAACCUCAGAAGUUUGAUGGACGGUCUACUUCUGGGCUUGAAGAGGUGAUCAUGAACUGCACUUCAAGGAGGUCCAAAAGAGGGGAAACAUCAGGAGGUAAUAAAGAGAGCACAGAAUGGCAGUACCCAUCCUUCUGGCCAUCUGACAGCCAGGAUCAUCAUGCAUAGAAGAGCAACACCUCUGCCACCUUGAGUAUUAGCAAAUCUUGGGAGAGGCAACCAAACGCAAACCAAGGCCCUGGCACCAUCAUCACUCCCAUGAUAUGAUCAGUAUACCAUAGGCUACAAGGAGGCUAAAAGCACAAAGGUUAGCAGGACAUCCAGGAAACAAGCAAGGCAAAGUUAUAGCAACACAAUCUAAACCGAGCUUUUUAUUCUCUCUCUCUGUCUCCAAACCCAGCUUCUCUCUCAUGUUUCUUUCUCUUCAACCAAUGCAUCUGGAUAACGGGAUGGAAGUUUUAUUUGAGGGCUCAAAUUUACAUGUCUAAAGAGAUAAACAUGAUAUUGGUGGAAAAGCAAAAGGGGGAAUCGGGAAAAGAAAAGUUAGUGACAUAAACCAAAGGUGACGUCACAAGAGAACGGUCAGUUUAGUCGUCGGUUGUGCACAGCGAUCGAUGCAAAUCAUUACUGUAAUCAUCGUCCUUCUACCUUUUUCGUCAAACUGUUGUUAUAGUCUAAUAAUCAGGAAUCGAUACACCAUUAUACAAUUCGUUGCUUUCCUGAUUGUAAUUGUUUAAUUGGUUAAUUGUACAGAUCAUUUUCUUUUUCUCGUAUAUAUAUCGAGCAAAUUAAGAAGCUAACAUUUGGGGAAAGAAUGAAA